UCUGACUUUAGUUUAAUUUAGAAUGGCAGUUUUGGGGAUUGUUGGUCCUGCGUGGGAAGUUAGAU
rnacentral:tRNA from 1 species